CAUAAAAGAGCCAAGGGUGCCUACCCGACUUAACCCAACCAAAAUUUUGGUAAGCCAAGGACUACCUCAAACGUUCGCUAAUGUUUGUCUCUUAAUAGUCUAUGCUUUCAGAAUAAGGUUACUAAGAAUGACAAGAUCUUGAAUUAGAUUAAUCAUACUAUUAUACUUAACUUUACAAAGCUUUUCUUAUAUUAAAUAAAUGUAGCCGUCACUCCUCCCAAAAGACAGAAACAUAAUCUCCUUUUUCUCUUAUUUAUAUAAGAGCUUAGCUCUUUGAAAUUAAAAACUGACUUGAAUGGGACAAACAUUUGGAGUCUGUUCAGCAUGUCCAACAGAUACCAAGGACUAGCUCCAAACAGGGGUAUUAAUAGAACUAAGCCUCAGAGAGGAAUGGUCACUCUCAUACCUCAGAGCUUCUAGAACAAAGAAUUUAUUCCAGUGGAAAGCAACACAUAGAUCAUGCUGACCAAAUUAAACUAUUGUAAACUACAAUCAGUUGCGCAGCAAGAAUUGAAGAUAAUAUGAUCUACUAAGGGAGAGAGUAAAGCCUUAGAAAAACAACUGGAUGCCAGAGAAAUGCAAGAAACUUUAGAAUAUAUUGAAAAUAAAGCAGCUUCCAACUGAAGCCUCUCAGUAAGUCUGUGGGAAAAAUUAAAAAAUCACCAUGAAAGUAAGAAGAAGUACUAAUCCAGACAGAAGCAACAAUACAAAAAAAGCAAGAAGCCCAGAUUAAACAUAUGCAUGACAAAGUGGCUACUGGUCAUCGCACACCCAAUCUACUGGAAGAAAGAAAACUGCAUAUAAAGUUUUAUGGAAAAUCAAAAGCUGGAUCCAGUUCCGUAGUCCUAUGGCUAGUGCUUUUAAAAAUUCAAGAUGAAAUUGGACAAGCAGACAUAAGCAGCAGGCAUACCCAGAAUCUUUGUGUCUGUUCCACAAUCUGAAGAAGUCUGAAAACCAUCUGAUUUGGAGCCCUACUUUUCCCCAAAGAAAAUUCAGAAUCUCUUUGGAAAGAAGCACAAUCAGAUACAAUGAUCUGUUCUACAUAGUCCUCAAGAAAAAGGCAGAGCUGCGAUCAGUACAAAGAAAGAUCAAGUUAUCGCACCUAGAGAAAGAGAAUACUCCAAAAGACCAACAACGGAUGUAGGAUUUUUGGAGCCUUCCUUUAUAAAGUAGUGGAAGCAGCCUGCGAGGCUGAAGAGGCCACUUUCCUGCAGAAGCAAAGAGCACGCCAACGAAACAGAGAAGGGCUACACGCACUUCACACUCGAUUAAAAGCCCAUCUUCUUUC